AGAAAUUCAAAAAAUUGCAAAUCAACUCUAGAGGAUAAAGUUUCUUUUGCCAUACAAUCAGCAACUCCAUUUUGUUCCGUGGGAAUGUAAUGCAAUAACCAUAAUUUCUCCUGAGAUAGAAUACUCUGAAUUAGCUAAAUCAAAGCAGAGUUCGGUGUGGCUGAAACACUUCCUUGAAUGGCUCGAACAACGUCCAGACUAUCCGAAAGAAUUAUUACACUAUCAUGACCUCUUCAUUAAACCCUUCAAAAAUGUUCCAAAGUUCAGCAUCGAAAAUUAUACACUUUCCAAGAUAUCGAUUGAAACCAAAGAGUCACUGUCCAUUUAUAUCUCUCGCAAAAAUAUUAAUAAUAAUGGCAAGAAUAUUAAUAACUAAAGCAAAUUAAUAAAGCAGAUUUCAAGAGAAAUUAAUGUAGUUACACGUAUGUUGGUUGAAAUGAUGGAAGUUUUUCUUAUAAUUCGAUAGUGUUCCAAGAAUCCUAAAAACAAUCGUGGAGCAUUUACGGUUGGAUGGUCGGCUUAUGUUAUGUUAGCUCCACCAAAAAGAAUGAAGGCAAUGAAGUUAAAGCAAGAAAAUAAUACCCACAGCCUGGAAAUGGCGUUGAUUAGAAACUACAAGAUUUGGGCCGC
rnacentral:lncRNA from 1 species